rnacentral:rRNA from 1 species
CCUGAACGCUGGCGGCGUGGCUAAGACAUGCAAGUCGCACGGACGUAGCAAUACGUUAGUGGCGAACGGGUGAGUAAUGAAUCGCUAAUGUACCCCGGACUCUGGGAUAGCUAGCCGAAAGGUUAGGUAAUACCAGAUGAUAUAACCGAACCGCAUGGUUUGGUUCUCAAAGGUCCGCCGGUCUGGGAGCAGGCGAUUUCGUAUCAGCUAGUUGGUGAGGUAACGGCUCACCAAGGCUUUGACGCGUAGCCGGACUGAGAGGUUGGCCGGCCACAUUGGGACUGAGACACUGCCCAGACUCCUACGGGGGGCUGCAGUAACGAAUCUUCCGCAAUGCACGCAAGUGUGACGGAGCGGCGCCGCGUGUAGGAUGAAGCCCUUUCGGGGUGUAAACUACUGUCAGGGGUUAGAAAGUUCUGAUCAACCCCAGAGGGAAGGGACGGCUAACUCUGUGCCAGCCGCCGC